rnacentral:lncRNA from 1 species
AGGAGCACGACGGGGAGGCGCAGUACGCUCCCCCUCUGCUCAUGGAGACGUUGGGCGACACGAGCCAGCUGCAGAGGCUCACGCAGGGGCCGUGAUUGAUCAAACCUUUUGGGCAUUGAUUUACCUUAGUAGUGUAGUGUUACCAGAGGCAGCUGGUUGGGUGAAUGGCUUUGACCAUAAUAAUACGCGCUAUACUGUUAAUUAACUUUGUUGUUAGGUGGAAAUGGAAUGCAGGCAUGCCUGGCUACGGACCGUGGAAAAGACCUCUACUAGUAGUAGUGUGGAUGGAAUUUCCUUUGUGAUGGGUGUUAAUAGACAGAUUGCAAAAUGAAUCCAAUAAUUUCAUUGAUGAUCAAUCCUUAUAUACAACGGGAGGGGGCGCGAGCGAAGGGACGCGUCCACUCGAUAGGGAGCGAGGAAACUGUCGUGACGCUUGCCGGAUUGGCAACGCACGUUCAGUUAUACAAGGGAGGAUUAUCUCAUUAAUUACAAUAUUAAUUAAAUCCUAACACUCUCCCUAAUCCUCUCUUGUCCUUCUGACUGAUCAUCCUUAAAAUAAUCUCCUUCAAAAAUCCUGUAGGAAAAAUAUGAAAAGAUAUGCCUAAUAUGCCAUGAAAAACUCCUUCCGAAAACCCAGUGGGAAAAUAAGGAGAAAACGACAUAUAGCAAUGCUUGUAUUACUAUUGCCUCAUUAAAAACCUUUCAUGAGAAACCAUCCAGGAAAACCUACCCGGGGAAGCUGUUCGUGAGCCUGUCCAGCGUGUUGUUCGCGUUCCUCAUGCUGGACACCCACAAGUACAGGUCUGCUCACAACAAGAUAUCGUCUCCGCUCUUCCCUGUGCUGGUAAGCAAUGCGGCAUCCUUGCGCUCAUCUAUCCAUCCUUGACGUGUUCUUUUUUUGGGUAAAGAAAAAACAUAGCUGAUCGGCAUCGUAUAAUGUGUAUAUGUUUUUGUUCGUCAGCUGUGCUGGGCGCUUGGGUACGUGGUGGCUCAGCUCUUCUUCGGCGUGGUGGAGACGUCGGUGGAGACGAUAAUCCUGUCCUUCUGCCAGGAUGCUGAGGAGCACGACGGGGAGGCGCAGUACGCUCCCCCUCUGCUCAUGGAGACGCCGGGCGACACGAGCCAGCUGCAGAGGCUCACGCAGGGGCCAUGAUUGAUCAAACCUUUUGGGCAUUGAUCUACCUUAGUAGUGUAGUAUUACCAGAGGCAGCUGGUUGGGUGAAUGGCUUUGACCAUAAUAAUACGCGCUAUACUGUUAAUUAACUUUGUUGUUAGGUAGAAAUGGAAUGCAGGCAUGCCAGGCUACGGACCGUUGAAAAGACCUCUAGUAGUGUGGAUGAAAUUUCCUUUAUGAUGGGUGUUAAUAGACAGAUUGCAAAAUGAAUCCAAUCAGUCAGAAUUUCAUUGAUGGUCAAUCCUUAUAUACAACGGGAGGGGGCGCGAGCGAAGGGACGCGUCCACUCGAUAUGGAGCGAGGAAACCGUCGUGACGCUUGCCGGAUUGGCAACGCACGUUCAGUUAUACAAGGGAGGAUUAUCUCAUUAAUUACAAUAUUAAUUAAAUCCUAACACUCCCCCUAAUCCUCUCUUGUCCUUCUGACUGAUCAUCCUUGAAAUAAUCUCCUCCAAAAACCCUGUAGGAAAAAUAUGAGAAGAUAUGCCUAAUGUGCCAUGAAAAACUCCUUCCGAAAACCCAGUGGGAAAAUAAGGAGAAAACGACAUAUCGCAAUGCUUGUAUUACUAUUGCCUCAUUAAAAACAUUUCAUGAAAACCAUCCAGGAAAAACUCAUAAAGAAAAAGAGUGCAAUAUCUAAGAUCCAAAGAUCUUCAACAGGUUAUCAUAUGUGAUGUGGACAUAGCUACUAUAAGUACAUAUACAUAUGAUACAAGAAACAUCACCGACCCAGCUGCGUCUGGACCUAUGACUAGAGCACAUAUGAGACAAAUAAAUGGCCAGGUACUUUUGUUUUUUAGUAAAUAUAGUUAAGUUAACAAGAAUACGAUAUUGUCUUCAUGCUGUAAUUUUCUUAUACUCAGGAAAAAAGGAUUUGAAGAAUGUACCAGCAAGAAUUAUGCACAGACAAAAGACGUAGCAGCUAGUAGAAGCAGCAGUACAAAUAAAUAUUUGCUUCACCACUAGUAAGCUUGCACGUGCAAUGCACGUCUUGGCUAAAGCUCUUUUUGAAGAUACAUCCAUUCCCAAUCAAAAACACCGUGUUUCUAGUUAUAUUUCUUCAUGGCAGAAGUUUGCCCGUGCAACACUGUUAUAAGCUUAGCAAGAAAUUUUCUCGGUCCCCUCUUAAACAUAUGUGAACAAAAUAAGCUACUAAUCUCCUCUUAAAUCAGACCAAUGCUCCCUUGAUCAAUAAUCGGAGCACUCCUGCACAAGAACAUCAACGGCAAUCUUACUUCUUUUUAUUGGUCGCUCACCAUUUGUGUCGCCACAAUUGACGACAUCUUCGCCACACUACACCAGCUCUGGCAGCCAUGAAGGGUGGUAGAUUCCGUGGGAUUGUUGCGCAUGGUACCUGGCCAAGCUGCUCACUCCAACCAUGAAAGCGACCACCUGCUGCAAACAUUGAAUGGUCAUUAUGUGUUGCAAAGCAACUCGAGCACAUAUGUAUUGGUUGAAGUUUCAUGGCUGUAGUGGCGAAAAAUAGUCUUAGUUGUUGCAUAGAACAAGAAGGAUCUGAUGCUUCAAUAUCGAGCAAAAUAGUGCACUAUCCUCACCAGUAUCGAGCAACAUAUUUUCUCUCACAUUCUUUAUUGGUUUGAAAGCAUGGUUGGCUGAAUACUCCUAGACCAGGGUUUGAAAUAUUCUACAAAGGUAGUUUUAAAGAAUCUUGUAAUGAUGCGUGAACACAUCAGAUUGUCAAAAAUAAUUACAGUACACAUAAGCAGGCAAGGAACCAUGCCAUGAUUUCUGAUCUUCUGUAUAUACUUCCAAUUUUGGACAAAUGGAAGGCAAUAAUUACGUUCAGAAACCAAUUUAUAAAAAAGGGAAGACAAUGUGGAAUUCACACUUCAGUCGUUACAGGUGAAGAAUGAUUACCUAUAUAUCUACAUAUGAGGCCUAUAAUCAGAAACAAUGAAACUGCCGCUACAUCGGAAACAUGUUGUAGAUAAUGAAUCUAACCUAGGAAUACAUAAUAUAACAAAUAUCCUAUAUGCUUUUGUUUGCAUAUUUCUCAUUUCUAUUGAGUCGGAUUUUAAAAUCAUAUCUUAAAGUGGAAACCCGCAUAAAAGAGGACUGGUAGGUAUAAAAGUUUUGAAUUACAUAGGUGGUGGGGCAUAUUUAUAACAAGUCAUAACUAAUACAUCUGUAUAAAUGUUUUCUCUACAUUCGCUCUAUAUUACAAGUGUAGCAUAUUUUACUGUUGCACAUAAUUGAAAUCUAAAUGGAAGGUCACAUCACCAAGCAUUCAACUUUUGAUUGAUAAGCACUAAGUCGAGAGCCAAGCAAUAUGCAAAAAUGGGAACCAUAAUCUCAAAAAUUGUUUAUCACCCUCGUCCAUCUCGAUGAAAGAUUAAAAUAACUACAGAAAAUAUAGAUGGUACUAAAUCUCUUACCAUGACAUCACAAGCUCAACGAUGGCACACAUGAGCGACUAAGCUGAUGAUUACUGUAUACCAUGCAGAUUGUAGACUUUCGGAAUUAACUCCAUGAGCUGGUAACAAAACAUAACAUGUGUGUCCUAAUUCCUAAAUUGACGUUGAAGGCCUAUAAUGAUUAGAGGACCAGUCCUCUUCUUAUAGUUCUACCUACAGGGAUCCAAUAUGCUUUUGUUUCUUCUAUAAUAAAUAUCCUAUAUGCGUAUAUACAUCCGAUUCACAAAAAAGUUAGAACAUCUUAUAUUUGUGAACGGAGGGAGUACUUCAGAUCUAGCCAACAGCAGGAUAAAUUAUGGCAAUAUUUUGUAUGGACAGGUUUGAUAGCGAUCAAAACAUACCCAAUAUGCAUAACCUUAGGCCUGCGAUCCAAACGCAUCCAAACGCCCGAGCUCCCGCAGCUCCAAGCCGCCGCCGCUCUGUAGGCUCGCGCCACCACCCCACGCCGCCUCUCGCCGGAGACCGUCGCAACCCGAGGUUCACCGUCAAGGCCGCCACGCCCCUGCCUUUCCUCCUCUCCCUUCUGUUCUUCUAUAUCUUCUCACCUUCGAAGCUCUCUCUCCUAGGAACUGCAGCAGGCCAUGGAGAAGCUCAGCCGCCGCCGUUGUCCAUCCAACUCGCCGAAGCCGCCUGUCGUACAGACAUCAUUUAAUGGAAACUGAGUCUGCAUAUAACCCUGCAUGAUUUACUACCUCAGCUAUGCUCUAUUAUAAUAGUUGAUUAGGUGAUUAAACCCCCAAGAGUAUAUGAAAUGGGCAUGGCUGUACAAAAUGUAUACAUAAGCUAUACCCUGUCCCGGAGUUGCAAUCAUUAGGUUGAGAAGGAACAAAACCAAAUGAGAUGCCCGGUGCAUAAUUUUCUAGUUGAGAGCCAAUCAGUAUGGCAUCUAUGGCAUCUACGUCUAUGUUAUAGGAGGUACAAUCUGCAGUUUUAUGUAUGAUUUGGACAUACCAUUUGCAGUGGUGCUGGCUGCUGAAGCUUUCCUGUCAGAUUUCACAAUUAGCCUCACCAAUCAGGUUUCCAUAUCACUGAAGACAAAAGAAGGCCAGACACAAUGUUGAAUUGAUAGAUAGCCAUUCAGUAUCAACCAACUGACAGGAAAAAUACGUGAAGAUGGUACUAACAUCCGGCAUUCAACGCUGCUCCUAUCAUUGCAGAAUGGGCAGGAAAAGACCAUAUCGAGCUUGUCCAUCCGCUUCCUAGUGGGCGGCUUAGCGGCUGCCUUCCUCUUCCCCCUUCCCCAUGGUUCAACCUCUCUUCUCCCUUUCAAAACCUACGAAGAGCAGCAGUUAGAAUCUACCUAUCAAAUGAUGAGAAGAUUUUUAACACACUAAUGGAGUUGCUAGCCGCGAAGAAAUCAAUACUUUAUACAGUACGAUCUAAACAAAUACUGAAAUUCGUAAAAGGCACCAAGCUAUGACGCAUCAUUCUUUGUAAAAGCAACCGAAAUUUGUAACGACGCAAGAUGAAGAUAGCAAAUCAUACACAAAUCAUUCUCAAGAUGGAAUCCAGGAACACAACAGCAUGUAUGAUCGUGCCAUGGACACUACACCCAGGGCGGAUCUGGCCCAGAAAUUGCGAAGGUCCCAUCACCACCCUUGUGGGAUUGACCGAUUGAAUUAGCAAGGAGGAGAAUUGAUGUUGUGAAGAAGCAAUCACACAACCUAGCUGCUCGUGCAUACCUUAGAGAGAGGGUCAGAAGGAGGAGACCCGGUGGCCGGGCCAAGACUGGGACGGCGUGGAGACCGCAGCAGCAGGACGUCAAGGGGGUCUAAGAAGAGGAACGAUGACGGGAUCGGUGCUCAAGAGGCCAGAAGAAGGGGCUCCGAAUCGAAAAGCUAGGCCUUCGAAGCUCUGUCUCCCUGGAACUGCAGCAGUCCAUGGAGGAGCUCAGCCGCCGGCGCCGCCCUUCCGACUCGCCGGAGCCGCACGUCGUCGAUCCGAUCCGGCUGCCAUCCGCCAGAUCCACGCAAGUCCCGCCGGAGCCCACGCCUCCCUGCAUUGAGCUGUCGCCGCCGCCCCGCAUCGCUCGCAUCGCUACCAUGCAAUCAGGUAGUAUCUGUUUGCAAAUCAGGUUGUGUUUUUUUCCUUGGAUUAGCGAAGCGAUGUAUUGGUGUGGAGCACGGAAGGUUGGUUCGGCAGAGUUUUCGUCCGCUUACGCAAAUUGCUAAACGCAAUUCUCGUUGAGGGUUAGUAUAAUUUAAUAGUUAGAUCAAAUUAAAUGGUUCUGAUCGUGAGGCUGUAAUCGCUUCGUUUUGUUAUGUGUACGUUAGGCUGGGUGUACUUAGCGAUGAAUAUGUUUGCUUGUUUAAUACUAGUAAUAGAUAUAUGAGUCAACCACGUGGAGUAGCAUGCAUGCUAAUUACAGAUUAAACGAAGUGGACCGUAGGCCCAUGUGUGGCAGCCGUCAACACGGUGCUACUUGGAGUUUUCAAUUCAAGAUGGGCCUCCGCACGUGUCACGUUGUCCAGGCAUUCCACGGGAAAUCAAAGACGGCGACAACGACGGUUAAUAAAUAGCUAAUCUAGGUUAGGGUUUAGACUGGGUUUAUUUAGAAAAGUUUAGCUAUAUUGCUAUUUUUAUUUGUCUUCGCUCAUAGCGGCUAGUGCGAUCGUCAAGACAUCCUAUCAGAACCCCAUCUUGUGAGAUUAACCCAUCUAGCAUAUUCACAAUUUUGAGAUUGCUUGGUAUUUUCUUGCAUGUUCUUCGAUUUGCUUGCAGGAAAAAUCCUUCGUGGAUAGGUUGAUCGCGCCGUUGGCUCUGGCUCGGUCGAUAACGCCGUGGAGUUGGUUCAGCGAUUGCCGUGGAUAUCAGUCGUGUACGGUUCUUUCUGUACGGUUGGUAGCCAGAUCGUGAGCGUCAAGUCCCACUCAAAAAUCGUAGUUAUCCUCUCUCAUCGAAAGAUCGGGUCCCCAGUUCGCAUAAGUGGUAUCAGUUUUCAGGUUCAUCGGUGAGAGAUUUACAGUUUUCUUAGAUUAGAUUUUUUUCAGUCCUACAACCCACAAAAAAGCCAAAAAAAAAGAUUAGUUCAUCCAUUACACCUAUCUUUUUAGCCUUUAGCAAUUUUUGCAUCUAGUACUUGCGUAGUUGAGUUUUUGGUUGCAUCCAUCCUAGAAUUAGUGCUGGUUUAGAUUAGUUUGAGAAAAAAAUCUACUAGAUCGAACUUGUUUUUGUCCGUAUAAGAAAAUCCGCCGCAAAUUCGUCCGUGCUCUCGUCGUUGUGCGCCGCUUUUCACGGAUAGAAAAUCUGAGUCAGUUGCACAUAUCUUCUCGUCACGCAGUACCAAACACAGAAAAAAAAACUAGCAGUAGAUUUCCAGCGGUCAGAGUCCACCCAAUUCAUGUGCCUGCCGCCUGUCCGCCUCACGCGUCUGCCUCGCGCGAGUCACCAGACAUCUCAUCAUCUGUGUCUGCCUUCACGCGCCACACUUUCCAUCAGGCUAAUCUCAACAGCAAAUCACUUCUAACUAGCUUCCGUAGCACCUUGUGUCCAUUAGCUUUGCAUUUUUUUUUUCUUAUUUUUUCUCCUGUGACUUGACUUGUGUCCGUGACUUCCGCUAGCAACCGGCCUAAAAAAAGAGAAGAAAAAGAGAAGAAAAACAAAAAGAAAAAAAAGAAAUACAAAGAAAAAAAGAGAAAGAUUUUGCAAAGUUGAGGCCGGUUCCAAUCCUUUGGACAAUCUCUGUUACUGUUUGGAACUUUUACUCUAUUCCUAUAAAUAAUAGUUGUGGGACAUUUUCUAUUCUCUCUACACUGUGUUUAUACCUCACUUAUAUCUAGCUAUUUAGAGCUAUUAUAUUUUUAUCGGUUUCCACUCACUUGUUUCAGUAUCUGAGCUUAGAUUGUGUUCUCUCUUACUAGUCGACUACCAUCACUAGUUAGGAGUUUGAGCAAUUAUUCAACUUGCAUUGCUUUUUGCUAAAUUGUGCCACUGAUACUGUGAUUUUGAGAAGCCUUUGCCAAGCUACACUUUUUCCUACCAAUAAGUACAGGUCCCGGUUCCGUUGAGUCCUGGUUAUCGCUCCAACCAAUCUUCAUCGGUCGUUUGAAGCCAACACCAGCGCGCCGAUCACCACCUGUUGCAUUGGUAAGAUCAAGUAAGAAUUUGAUACUAAGCUUGAGUGUGAGCGGGUUUUUUUUCACCACAUCCUACUAGUUGAUAGGGUUUCUACACUGUGUUUUUUCUCUUCCGCUAACAAUGACACAGGAUCAACCCACACUUGAGGGUCUCACCGCGGAUGUGAAAGUCACCAGCGAGCGUCUUGCCCAACUUGAGGGUGCUCAGAUUGCGACCGAAGAAAGGCUCAAGGCCAUGGAGGAUGCACAGGGUGUUGCAAACACACAGCUAAAGGACAUCUUGUCACGUCUUGACGAGUUGCGGACUGCACCCCCCAUCAACAACAAUGUUGAUCCUCGCAACUCCACGGGUGGCGGCGCUAUUUCGCGAGCUCGGCGUGUGCCCAUGGGUCAUCCACAACACCCAGCUACUGCCACUGAUGCCGCCAUCAUAAACCAGCACCAACAAAUUCCUCCCCGCGUCGAGCAACAUGGGGACAACUACGAGGAUUAUUCUGGUGACACCGAAGACGACCAAAUGGUCAACCACCACAAUGACCGUGCUCAUCGACAACUACGUUUCAACCGUCACGGUAUGGCACGAGGUCAACCCAGGUAUGAUGUUAGAGAUUAUGAACACUCUAGUGCCAAAAUCAAAUUUACUAUACCUGCUUUCAAUGGUAAAUAGAACUUUCUGUUGAACAAAAAUUUGCAUGUCAUGAUAUUCCUGAGAACCAAAGAGUUAGGGCAGCCACUAGUGAAUUUACAAAGUUUGCUUUCAUGUGGUGGAGUGAAUAUUGUCGUAUUAAUGCAAAUAAUAUACCUGCUACUUGGGAUGCUUUAAAACGAGUUAUGCGACAACGUUAUGUUCCUUCAUAUUAUGCUCGUGACAAACUGAAUGAAUUGCAACGUUUAAAACAAGGUAGUAGUUCUGUAGAGGAUUAUUAUCAAGAAUUACAAACGGGCUUAGUGCGAUGUGGAUUAGUCGAAACCGACGAUGCUAUGAUGGCUAGAUUUUUAGGUGGUUUUGAAUCGUGAUAUUCAGGAUAUCUUGGACUAUAAGGAGUACAAUUCUAUUACUCGCUUGUUUCAUUUUGCUUGUAAAGCUGAAAGGGAAGUACAGGGACGACACAACAAGGGACGAGGUAACUUUUCUGCAGGUCGCCGCUCAUCAUGGACACCCUCUCCUACUGUUCCAUCCACUACUGAGUCUACACCACCUAUCUUGAACAAUGGUGCACAUCCAUCAAGUUUAAAAUCAGCUCCACAAUCAUCCGAGGCUUCAAAAGCAAUGUCUAUAGCAUCCACCACUUCAUCUAGACGCACAAGGGACAUGAAGUGUCAUAUAUGCAAAGGUGGCGGGCACUUAAUGAAGGACUGCCCAAAUAAACAAACAUUCAUUGUGCGGGAAGAUGGUGAGUACUCCUCUGCUAGUGAUUUGGAUGAAGAUACACGCGCUAUGCUUGCCACUAAUAAUGCAGAUGGCAUUAAGGAGCAUGACACAGAGGAGAUACAUAUUAAUGCUGAGAUGGCCGAUCAGUACCCAAGUCUUGUAACCUUGCGAGUACUUAGUGCCCGGGUGGGGCAUACUGAGAUGCCUCAACGCCAUAAUCUUUUUCAAACUGAGUUUGUUGUCAAAGGGCAUUCCGUUCGUGUGAUCAUUGAUGGUGGAAGCUGCAAUAAUUUGGCGAGUAUAUACAUGGUCGAGAAACUUUGCCUCACCACUACGAGACACCCCCAUCCAUAUUACAUCCAAUGGUUCAACGACUGUGGUAAGUUGAAGAUAACACGUCGUGUGCGAGUACAAUUUACACUUGGUUCAUAUCGUGAUUACGUUGACUGUGAUGUUGUACCUAUGCAAGCUUGUUCUUUAUUGUUAGGUCGACCUUGGCAAUAUAAUAAUAGUGUUACUCAUCAUGGUAGAACAAAUUCAUAUACUCUUGUGUUUGAAGGAAAAACCAUCAACUUGCUUCCUAUGACCCCUGAUGAAAUAGUAAAUGAUGGGAAGGCUAAAUCAACGGAUCGUACUAUGCACACUAUACUUGCUAUCAAUUCUGAAAUUUUUCCGCUUAGUGUUCCAACUUCUAAUCUGGACAUACCGCAUGUUGAGAUAGUUCAUUUGCGUUCCCAAACUUCAUAUAUAGAAUUUUUGAGGGAUAAAAUUUAUCAUGAUAUUUAUAAUGUUAUGCCCCGACAUGAGAAAGAGUUUAAAAUUGUAGCACAUCCUCAUGAGCUAACGCCUUUGGAACAAUCUAUAUAUGUUGCAUCUAUUUUUGGUUUGCUCUAUGAUGUGUUCCGACACAGUUGCGUCUGGACCUAUGACUAGAGCACAUAUGAGACAAAUAAAUGGCCAGGUACUUUUGUUCUUUAGUAAAUAUAAUUCAGUUAACAAGAAUACGAUAUUGUCUUCAUGCUGUAAUUUUCUUAUACUCAGGAACAAAGGAUUUGAAGAAUGUACCAGCAAGAAUUAUGCACAGACAAAAGACGUAGCAGCUAGUAGAAGCAGCAGUACAAACAAAUAUUUGCUUCACCAUGAGUCAACCACGUGGAGUAGCAUGCAUGCUAAUUACAGAUUAAAAGAAGUGGACCGUAGGCCCAUGUGUGGCAGCCGUACAACACGGUGCUACUUGGAGUUUUCAAUUCAAGAUGGGCCUCCGCACGUGUCACGUUGUCCAGGCUUUCCACGGGACAUCAAAGGCGGCGACAACGACGGUUAAUAAAUAGCUAAUGGGUUUAGACUGAAUUUUUUUUAGAGAAGUUUAGCUAUAUUGCUAUUUUUAUUUGACUUCGCUCCUAGCGGCUAGUGCGACCGUCAAGACAUCCUAUCAGAACCCCAUCUUGUGAAAUUAAUUCCAUCUAGCAUAUUCAUAAUUUUGAGAUUGCUUGGCUAUUAUUUUCUUGCAUGUUCUUCGAUUUGCUUGUAGGAAAAAUCCUUCGUGGAUAGGUCGAUCGCGCCGUUGGCUCGGUCGAUAACGCCGUGGAGUUGGUUCAGCGAUUGCCGUGGAUAUCAGUCGUGUACGGUUCUCCUUGUACGGUUGGUAGCCGGAUCAUGAGGGUCAAGUCCCACCCAAAAACGUAGUUAUCCUCUCUCAUCGAAAGAUCAGGUCCCCAGUUCAGUACACUCCUCCUGAAUUUUGCAAAACACAAAGUCAUUCCAUACCAGUUCCAUUAAUAUGAUAAUCGGGAUUAUCACUUGACUUUGUUUGCAAAUUAUCUUCCACCUCUUUUUAACUUUUGGGGACGAAGAUACUUUCAGAGCCAUACACAUUCUAGUGUUUCUCUUUAUAACCUGUCUACAUCUGCAUAAUACAAACAAAACAUUAUCUUCGUAGAUAAUAGUGGGUGGUUCCUACCAACCAAUCCCACUUGAACUUUCAACAAAGUUCAUCAUUCCGUGAAGUCACAUACAUUCAUGUGAUGCUUCAUACAAAUUAAUGAUUUCAGAAUGACUAGUGGAUGCAUCCACUAAAAUAUGUCUUCUUGACUUCUCAGAGAAGGUCAGACCUUAAUUCGAGGAGACAAAAAUCAGUCUGUGAUCUAGGAUUAUGGGAAUUUAAUAUAUAACCAGCAUCACAAUAUCCAACCAUGGUCAUAUCUUGAUUUUUUUCUCAUAGAACAAACCAAGAUCUAUGGUGUCCAGAAGAUAUCUAAAAAUAUUCUUCACGCCGACCCAACGCCUUUUAAUCAGUGAUGCAUUGUAUCUAGCUAAUAAAUUUACUGCUAAUGAAAUACCAGGCCUGGUGCAGUUUGCUAGAUACACGUGUGCUCUCAUUGCACCGCGAUAUGGAGACUCAAGUCCAAAUAUCUCUUCAUCACUGCCAUUAGGCCUUAAUGGGUCCUUAUCUCUAGUAAUCCAGAGAUCUCAAAACCAUAGUUCUUUAAUGGAUAUGACUUAUCCAUGUUGAACUCUCAACAAUCUUUUGGAUACAUGUAGACUGGUGAAUAAGUAUUCCUGAAGGAAUACGCUCAAGUUCCAAACUCAAGCAAAGUUUGGUCUCAACCAAAUCUUACAUCUUACACUCCGUCUUAAGAUGAUAUGAUUGUAUCAUGUAUCUCUUGUGUAGUUCCAAUGAUAUUCAGAUCAUCAACAUACACAUAAAUUGUACAAAUCCUUCUUUGGAUUUCUUGAUGAGUAUACAUGAGCAACUAUCAUUGUUUGAGUAAUCAUUCUAACAAAGGAACUCACUCAGUCGGUUAUACCACAUCAUUGCCAACUACUUCAAGUCAUAAUGACUUCUGAAAUUUGAUGCAACACAUGUUGCGAUUAAACUCGGAAUCUUCGUUCCCUCAGGAACUAUCAUAGAGAUAUCCGAAUCAAGUGACUCAUACAACUAUGCAGUCACAACAUCCAUCAAUUGGAUAUACAAAUUCAUUAUUCACUGCCAGUGAUAUCAAUAUCGGAACCUUAUUCCACUCAUAAUAGGAUAACAUAUUUCAUCAUAAACGAUGACGGGUCUCUGCGUGAACCCAUGUGCUACAAUGCUCGCUUCAUGUCUCACCACCUCAUUGUUUUCGUUCCUCACAUGAACAAAAACCCAUUUGCUCCCCUAGGGAACAAAUUCAGAGGAGUGGGUAUUACUGAUCAGGUCAAUACCCCCCUCUUCUUGAGAGCGAGCGCAUCCUUAAUUGCUACCUUCAUUUGGAUCAACCAGAGUAUUUUAGACACUCAGCCAUGCAUGGACUUAGGUUCUAGAUCCAAUCCAAGGUCUUUUGCAAUUCAUGAGGAUAAAUAAAUGUCGACAUAAUGUAGUCUUUAUUAUAUGAUUCUCCCGAAUCCAUAUCCAUAGUGGAGAUUUCAUCAUUACCUUUUGACUCUUUGUGAUUUCCCACAACAGUUGAGUCAAGGUCUUUCGAUGUCCCACCACAAAAAUUUGUGUGCACACUCGUGCUGGGUCCUGGAUGUGUCCAACAUCCUUUAGGUGUCGUUCAACCCUUGGUUGAAUAUCAAGAUGAUGUUGACCUGCAUUUACUGUUUGAGGAUUCCUCAUUCCCCUUGAACGCUUCCAUGAAGCCUUGUCCUCUUGUGUCCAGAUUCCUCCCCCUCAUCGGGGGCCGAGUGGACCUAUGGCUCACAUCCACUCUCUCUGACACAUUCACUAUGGGAACAUUUUACUUUGUGACACCUAUAUACUUAGUAAAUGCAACUGGCAGAUUAUUUGCGAUACUUUGCAGAUUUAUAAUCUUCUGAACCUCUAGUUCAGAUUCAUUCAUACGUGGACCAAAGGACUAGAUGUCUAUUAACAUCUCGUUCAAUUUCCCGGCAUUCAAUGUGGUUCUUAUCUCCCCCUAAUGCCGAAAAAAUGUCCUUAUCAAAAUACAACCAGUGUACCGGGCCAUAAACAAGUCCCCUUCUAAGGACUUCAGGUACUUUAUGAUUGACGGAGAAUUGUACCUCACACAGAUCCCCAUUUCUCUAUCAGGGCCCAUAUAUGUACGCUGCGGUGGUGAAAUCGGUAUGUAUCCAACACAACUGAAUUAUCGUAGAUGGGAAGUACUUACUCAUUUCCACGUAGUAACUGCAACGGGGAGACCAUAUAAUAUGCAGUUUGUCGAAUUUUGUAUAUGUGUACAUAAAACUGCAAUGUCCCCAACUAGAUAUUGGGAGAUUACAAUUCUGUAGGAGCAAUCUUGCUAUCAACUUAUCCUCUUGACAAGUGAUUCCGCAAGACCAAUCUGGGUAUGUACACAAAGUACCAAUAUGCUCCACAGUUAUGCCUCAGUCUAGGCAGUAAUCAUCAAAUGCUCACGAACUAAAUUUCGUAGCAUUAUCCAUUAUGAUGGAUUUUAUCCCGUGCUCAUGAUGAUUUGCUCUCAAAUUAAUGAUUUGAGCAAUAAGCUUUGUAAAAGCAUGGUUCCUUAUGGAAAUAAGACACACAUUGGACCAUCUCACCGAUGCAUCUAAAAGCACUAUGAAAUAUGUAAAUAUUCCAUAUAACGGUUGAAUUGGAUCACAUAUAUAUCUCCUAUCCAAGGAAAUCUAGUGGCUCAUCCUCUUCCAUGAGAUAAGAUGGCCUUGCGAUCAGUUUCCCUGUUUGCACACAUCGUGCAUACAUAAUUCAAUGAAUUUAGAAAAUUCACACCGUUAGAUCGUGUCCAAUUGAACCAUCAAUAAUUUUCUCAUCCUGCCAAUACCAGGAUGACCAAGGCAAUCAUGCCAUAUCUUGAACUUCUCGAGAUUCUAGAAAAUUAUCUUAUACGCCAAUGCGUAUCCAAUUUAAUGUAUGUAUAAUACAAUCCACAAUAUAUAGAAACAUUUACUCUAGGAUUUCAUUCAAAUCCUCUUUGUUGAGUCAUGAGAAGGCUUCCAACCUCACUCAUUAUAUGAGUUUCAACAUAGAAACCAUUGCGGAUAUCCUUAUAACUCAACAAGGUACGAGUAGAAUCUUGAUGCAUGGAUACAUCCACGAUUAUCAUAUAGUACCCAUAGGGAGUGUAAUUAUGGCUUGACCAGAACCAACAAUUACCCCAUCACGACCAACAAUUGUCAUUAUGUUUCCACUACUCUUAUCAAGAGCCUGGAAAUACUUAAUCUCCUUUAGUAUCAUGUUAGUAGACCCAGUUUCUACUAACACAUUUUCUUCUCAAUUGGAUUAUUUCAAUAGGUUUCUAUAGAGAAAGAAACCAAUUUGAACAUUUGACUGAACUCAUAUAGAAAUAGUACAUACAUUAUAAACUAUAUAUGUGAAAGGACAUACCACAAGCAUCAUGUCUAAUGACAUAGUUAUCAUAUUAUGUUGAUGGACAUAAUUUGGUUUACACUAUGUAAUAUGUCUGCGGACAUAAUUCCAAUGUCUGACAAAUCCAAGAGACUAAAUCUGGUCUCCAUAUAUGUCACUAGAAGUGAAGUCCACGAACAUGUCAUCGAUAUUUAGUAGUGGACCUUCCUUUCGCCAAGAAUACUACUGGUUGCCAACGUUCUAAGGAACGUUUAGGAAACUUUCAACCAUCGGGAAAUCAUCCCUAUGUUCAGUGAAGUAAGCUUCACAUUGGUUCCCAUGAGACUUUUGCCCACUUUUGCCCUUGGCAAUUGAUUGCAUACACAGAUCCACCAAAUGCUUGGAAAUAUCACCUGUCCUUGCGUUAUACAACCACUCGUAUAGCAACCACCAGAGUUGCUAGCAUUGUCAUUUUUUAAACAACUUUUGCUCUUUUCAGCUCCAUUAUUACUCUGCUUCUCAUCAAUGUAUCCACUUCCUUUCACAAAUAACGAAAUUGUUAAGUCAAAAUCCUCAUACGAGGAUUGGAAGUGGAGAUCAUUUCUGCAAUGAGAUCGGCAUCUAAAACUACACUAUUGCAGAAUCACAACUUUUAGUUGUUUUGAUGCAUAUCAGAGUUGUAUGUUGCCACUGACUCGAAGUCAUGGAAUCAGACGAGCGUCCAUUCCCUAUGCACUAUAGGUAUCAUCACCACUCUCUAUUGAUCCCAACAGAUCAGCGUGUAGGUGAUGUGAGAUGAAGUGCAAUGCAACAUACUACGCUAUAUCAUCUAUGGCAGCCCCUGAGCGGUUAUGGUGGAACUGGGAUUCAGGCAAACUCAUUCUCGAUAUGUCCAACAUAUCUUGCAUGAAAUAUUCAUACCCAUUAAUUUACUCUCUAGUAAAUUAAUCAUCAACAUGUAGCAACCAUCAAAUUGCUUGAUCAAAUAUGUUGAUACACUAGUCUGCUUUACGAUACAGUAAUAUACAUGAAAUUACUGUAAAUACACAUACAUGCGAAAAACUGCAUAGCCAAAUGCUAAAACAGAAAAGGAAAACAAAAAAAAUGGUCCAGGGCCGAAUCUGCACAACCCAAACCAGUUGGCAUAACCCACAUGUUUUUUCGUUCUCACUUCAAUUUUUUUUUUUGGACAGAGAUGGGCCUUUGGCCGGCCCACAGACGCGCACCGCCCCAGAUAUCGGAUAAGGGAGAGGCGACGGGGCUGCUUCCGUCCCCAUUGACCAACCGCCCCUAAUCCUGGUCCAAACAGCGGCCUCGGCCGCCUCCCGGCCAUCCGCCGUCGUCGCUGGAGGGGCUGGUGCGUCGCCGCCCUCUGUGUAGAGAGCGCCGACAAGAGGCAUCUCCUCCCCUCUAUAAUCUUGGGCGUCGCCUCACGACCGCUGCUGAUGCCGAAGGUACCAUCGGCCAUGUUCAUGUCGUGGAUGGCUGUUGUCGACGCCGAAGGUGCCAUACUGCCAUGGGUCCUCUCGCUCAUGUUCAUGAAAAAACGAAUUCAGUCAUGAGUAAUUCCUUGUUUAAUCACAAGGGAAAAGAAAAACAUCAAAUUAGUGUUAUCGUGGCCGCUUUCUCCCUUGCCGAUGUAUGCAUGUCUUCUCUUUCUGUUACUUGUCGUCAUGUGCAGGGCCGCGUGAGUCGCCGCCGGUCCUCAAGAAAGGGGCGAAGUCCACGCCGUUGCAUCGCCAUGACGCCGCGCGUACGACGCAGACGCGGUCGCCGCCGUGACUGAUGUUGCCAUCCGCACCGGGGCUUGAUGCUUCACUCCGCCGCACCGGAUAGCGCUGCUUGAGCGUAGCGCCGGCACAGCCGGGGAUCGCGCGAGGCAUCGCUGUUCUCUCUGGCCUAAUCGCUCUCCGUUAGGCAAAGUGCUGAUAACGUGUUAAUAGACAGAUUGCAAAAUAAAUCCAAUCAGUCAGAAUUUCAUUGAUGAUCAAUCCUUAUAUACAACGGGAGGGAUCCUUAUAUACAACGGGAGGGGGCGCGAGCGAAGGGACGCGUCCACUUGAUAUGGAGCGAGGAAACCGUCGUGAUGCUUGCCGGAUUGGCAACGCACGUUCAGUUAUACAAGGAAGGAUUAUCUCAUUAAUUACAAUAUUAAUUAAAUCCUAACACUUCCCCUAAUCCUCUCCUGUCCUUCUGACUGAUCGUCCUUAAAAUAAUCUCCUUCAAAAACCCUGUAGGAAAAAAUAAGAAGAUUUGCCUAAUAUGUUAUGAAAAACUUCUUUCGUAAACCCAGUGGGAAAAUAAGGAGAAAAUGACAUAUCGCAAUGCUUGUAUUACUAUUGCCUCAUUAAAAACCUUUCAUGAGAAACCAUCCAGGAAAACCUACCUGGAGAAGCUGUGCGUGAGCCUGUCCAGCGCGUUGUUCGCGUUCCUCAUGCUGGACACCCACAAGUACAGGUCUGCUCACAACAAGAUAUCGUCGCCGCUCUUCCCCGUGCUGGUAAGCAAUGCGGCAUCCUUGCGCUCAUCUAUCCGUCCUCGACGUGUUCUUUUUUGGGUAAAGAAAAAACAUAGCUGAUGGGCAUCGUAUAAUGUGUAUACGCUUUUGUUCGUCAGCUGUGCUGGGCGCUUGGGUACGUGGUGGCUCAGCUCUUCUUCGGGGUGGUGGAGACGUCGGUGGAGACGAUAAUCCUGUCCUUCUGCCAGGACACUGAGGAGCACGACGGGGAGGUGCAGUACGCUCCCCCUCUGCUCAUGGAGACGCUGGGCGACACGAGCCAGCUGCAGACGCUCACGCAGGGGCCGUGAUUGAUCAAACCUUUUGGGCAUUGAUCUACCUUAGUAGUGUAGUGUUACCAAAGGCAGCUGGUUGGGUGAAUGGCUUUGACCAUAAUAAUACGCGCUAUACUGUUAAUUAACUUUGUUGUUAGGUGGAAAUGGAAUGCAGGCAUGCCUGGCAACGGACCGUGGAAAAGACCUCUACUAGUAGUAGUGUGGAUGGAAUUUCCUUUGUGAUGGGUGUUAAUAGACAGAUUGCAAAAUGAAUCCAAUCAGUUAGAAUUUCAUUGAUGAUCAAUCUUUAUAUACAACGAGAGGGGGCGCGAGCGAAGGAACGCGUCCACUCGAUAGGGAGCGAGGAAACCGUCGUGACGCUUGCCGGAUUGGCAACGCACGUUCAGUUAUAUAAGGGAGGAUUAUCUCAUUAAUUACAAUAUUAAUUAAAUCCUAACACUCCUCCUAAUCCUCUCUUGUCCUUGUGACUGAUCAUCCUUGAAAUAAUCUCCUUCAAAAACCCUGUAGGAAAAAUAUAAGAAGAUAUGCCUAAUAUGCCAUGAAAAACUCCUUCCAAAAACCCAGUGGGAAAAUAAGGAGAAAACGACAUAUCGCAAUGCUUGUAUUACUAUUGCCUCAUUAAAAACCUUUCAUGAGAAACCAUCCAGGAAAACCUAUCUGGGGAAGCUGUGCGUGAGCCUGUCCAGCGCGCUGUUCGCGUUCCUCAUGCUGGACACCCACAAGUACAGGUCUGCUCACAACAAGAUAUCGUCCCCGCUCUUCCCCGUGCUGGUAAGCAAUGCGGCAUCCUUGCGCUCAUCUAACCGUCCUCGACGUGUUCUUUUUUGGGUAAAGAAAAAACAUAGCUGAUCGGCAUCGUAUAAUGUGUAUACUUUUUUGUUCGUCAGCUGUGCUGGGCGCUUGGGUACGUGGUGGCUUAGCUCUUCUUCGGGGUGGUGGAGACGUCGGUGGCGACGAUAAUCUUGUCCUUCUGCCAGGACGUUGAGGAGCACGGCGGGGAGGCGCGGUACGCUCCCUCUCUGCUCAUGGAGACGCUUGGCGACAUGAGCCAGCUGCAGAGGCUCACGCAGGGGCCGUGAUUGAUCAAACCUUUUGGGCAUUGAUCUACCUUAGUAGUGUAGUGUUACCAGAGGCAGCUGGUUGGGUGAAUGGCUUUGACCACAAUAAUACGCGCUAUACUGUUAAUUAACUUUGUUGUUAGGUGAAAAUGGAAUGCAGACAUGCCUGGCUACGGACCGUGGAAAAGACCUCUACUAGUAGUAGUGUGGAUGGAAU